UAGUCUCAGAUAGGGGCUGGGCAAAGCUGGGGGAUUCAGGAAAGCCCUCCUUCCCUGAGACAAAGGACCUGCUCCAGUAAAGAAACAGUGUGAAGGUGGCGGCAGCGCCAGGCGGGGAAGCCGGGCUCCAGGGGACUGGUCCAGCUCUCAGCCGUGAGAGCUCACCCGUCAAGCCUGGGGAAGAGAUACCCGGAGUCUGAUGGGAUGUGCCUUCAGCAUCUUCACUGGAAUUAUGGAUGAGAAGGAGACGGAAGUGUGGACUGCCUGAUUUAAAGAAUGAGGGCUUCUCGGCUGCUGGGCUUGUUAGAGGCAUCCUAGGAGAAUCCGAUGGGCCAACUCCAUCGCCAGAUACAAAGACCUCCAUGCCCACCCCAGAUCCAGUAAAACAGUUCCUGUUUUUAAAAACCUCCUUGAGAAGAUGCAGUUCCUAAUCACUGUUGGUUAUCGUUUCCACUGAGCUGGUUCUUCCGAAUGUCUGAUCCAAGCCCUCCCUACCUCAGCUUCAGCUCUUUUUCUCCUGUUUGAUUGGCAGACAUAUUCAGGGGACAGUUGCCCUCUAUGCUCCCAAUGACAAUGCAAUGAUUUAAAGACUGAUCCAGUGUUCACCACCCCACUCCCACUUCAAAGGUUACAAUAAAAGCAGAAUGCUCCCCUCCUCUU